rnacentral:misc_RNA from 1 species
GCUGGAUACGACCAGCCUUGAAUGGUGGCCAAAGAACAACAAACAAGAUUUCAUAGUCCGUUAUCAUGAACAUUUUUUAAUAUGUAAUAUUUUGUCUAGAAAUGUUGUUUUAUAUCAUGAAAAAUAUCAUGGGAGUUUUUUUUCUUCAUUUUUUGACAUGUAAAAAAGCAUUUAAUAUUUUUUCUUAAUUUUUAUCCUUUGGUAUUCUGUUUAUAGUGAAAGUUAUGUAAAAAUAUAUCUUAUUAUAAUUUUUUCAUUUUAUAGUCAGAUGAACAAAGUGAUGCAGAUCAGUGCCUAUGCAAAUUGUGUGUUCAACUUUUUUUCUUAUAAUAAAAUUGUUUUUUUUUU